rnacentral:rRNA from 1 species
UGGGGAAUAUUGGACAAUGGGCGAAAGCCUGAUCCAGCCAUGCCGCGUGUGUGAAGAAGGUCUUCGGAUUGUAAAGCACUUUAAGUUGGGAGGAAGGGUUGUAGAUUAAUACUCUGCAAUUUUGACGUUACCGACAGAAUAAGCACCGGCUAACUCUGUGCCAGCAGCCGCGGUAAUACAGAGGGUGCAAGCGUUAAUCGGAAUUACUGGGCGUAAAGCGCGCGUAGGUGGUUUGUUAAGUUGGAUGUGAAAUCCCCGGGCUCAACCUGGGAACUGCAUUCAAAACUGACAAGCUAGAGUAUGGUAGAGGGUGGUGGAAUUUCCUGUGUAGCGGUGAAAUGCGUAGAUAUAGGAAGGAACACCAGUGGCGAAGGCGACCACCUGGACUGAUACUGACACUGAGGUGCGAAAGCGUGGGGAGCAAACAGGAUUAGAUACCCCAGUAGUCCCUGAGCGGGCUGGCAAGGCGCAU